CAGCCGCCACGGGAAUACGGAGGGCGCGAACGUUACCCGGAUUUACUGGGCGUAAAGGGCGUGUAGGCGGCCUGGGGCGUCCCAUGUGAAAGGCCACGGCUCAACCGUGGAGGAGCGUGGGAUACGCUCAGGCUAGAGGGUGGGAGAGGGUGGUGGAAUUCCCGGAGUAGCGGUGAAAUGCGCAGAUACCGGGAGGAACGCCGAUGGCGAAGGCAGCCACCUGGUCCACUUCUGACGCUGAGGCGCGAAAGCGUGGGGAGCAAACCGGAUUAGAUACCCCCGUAGUCCCUGUCUCUUAUAC
rnacentral:rRNA from 1 species